GACAGAGGUGCCGAGCGUUAGGCGGAAUCACUGGGCUUAAAGCGUGUGUAGGCGGGCGGGCAAGUACCUUGUGAAAUCCCACGGCUCAACCGUGGAACGGCUGGGUAUACUGCCUGUCUUGAGCCAACUAGGGGCGAGCGGAACAGACGGUGGAGCGGUGAAAUGCGUAGAUAUCGUUUGGAACGCCAAUGGUGAAAACAGGUCGCUGGGGACAUGCUGACGCUGAGACACGAAAGCCCGGGGAGCAAACGGG
rnacentral:rRNA from 1 species